CAAAUAGUCCAUAUAUUAGAGAAAUAGGGCCCACCAUGGCUACUCACCUACAAUGGUUUCUGAUCAAUCCCAGAAUUCUUUGCAUGUCUGGUUUUGAUUAUCAGACCAAUGUGUCCACGACAGCCACUAAGUGGACAUUGGUCGAGGGAGUGGACAUAAAGAAAACAUACAUGAUUAAAGCGAAUGCGAUUGUGUACUCAUCUUGUAAAAAAAUAGUUGAAUUAUUUAUAGAUCAAACAUUAUGUGAAGAAACCACAGACUUAGUACAUUAACUUUGAUUUUUCUCGUUCCGUAGAUAAAACUACCGAACAUCUCCCUGGCUCAUUAACUACAAAGAAAAAAACGCAGAUUAAGUGCUCUCUCUAUGUGGCCACCAUUCGUAUGGCCGAAAGCUACGUGUUGGAGAAAAUGGCCAUCUUGUUCACAUGAAAAGAGGCAGCGGAACUUGGUUGCCGAGUGUCUGGAACUAAAAUCAGACACUCGACUUCCCGAACGCCGGUCAACUUUGCAAACGUCUGCUUCUUUUCACCGACCAGCCAAGAGGGCGCUAUUUGGUAGUUUUGUUCCCACGAAUUAGGGGAACAAACGCUACCCAUGAGCCAAGGGAACAGUUUGAGAAUUUGUUCGGUUUUUAGACUUCCCGAAAUGGAUCGACCACUACCUCUGAAACUGUGAAACUGUUUUGGGCAUAGGAUCUUGUGUGUGAUCGUUCAAAUUAUAACCUCCAUGGAAAUCCCGAACCCCUGAACCAAUCUGGGUGAAUUUUGGAUAUGAUGGUCCCCCAGAUCGGGGCUAUCAGGGGAUAUGAUGUUUGUGGGGUUUCCAUGUGUUUUUUAUGUACUUUCUGGGUUUUGUUGAAAUGUAUGUUUUUUGUGCAUGGAGAUAAUUGAGUUUAGUACAAUCUUUGACUCAAUUAUUUCCCAAGCACAGGGGAAGGAUAAUACUAUCUUAUGUGGGAGUGUCCUGGACCUGGCAGCCAAUGUAAUUGCAGUGUAUACUUUUCCAUAGUCUCCUCUCAGGUCCAGCAGGGCAUGCCCCUGAAAUAUGUCACUGUAAACCCUGUGCAUGGGGACUUGCAUUUAAAUCAACCAGUUGGUCUGAAUAAACUCAUUCCUGUUGUACCCUUCAUCUAGUCUAGGCUGAUAUUUGGAAAUACGUCUGAUUUGCUUGGUGAAUUUACUUGGAUGCUAUACUUCUUCUGGAAAAUGUUCGAAUCAGCACCCGAACUGUGAGCUAUAAUCACUCAGCCUCUAGCAGUUCAGGAGCAAACAGGUAUCUGAAAUACUAGCGUUUGUUACACAUUACAUUUUGCAUUGUCUCUAGCCAAUAAAGAAAUGGAAAAGUGGCCUUUAAACUAAGUAAACCAACAAAUAUUUUCCCAGCGUUCUACCAGGUUAGAUCCCCAUUUAAUUAAACUGGCUCAUUAUGUCCCUAUCUGAUUAGCGCAGGAGAAUCAAUUAUUCGAUGCACAAACAUGACUGUGAGAGUUAGCGGUGUACAGAGCUGUUCAUUUAAUUCCAAGGACACUAAUUAGGUACAAAGCAAGCAAUAACUCUAACAAUUGAAGGCAAAGACAUACACGCUGUACAGGACAAGGGGAAAACAGGCCUUCAUUUUCUUAAUAAGCUGGAUUCCCUAUCCUUAACAGGGUCAAGAAAAAAAACAAAAUGAGAAAGCAAGAAAUGGAGAUGAAGAGCACAGAGCUUCCUGGAGAUAACCCUGGGGAUUUGCAUAUGUAAUGGUUUUCUGCUACUUUUGUAGUUUAUAAUCAAACACUAGGCAAUUAUCCAAAUUAUUGACAGCAGCUUUCUCAUUUCAACUGCAAAUUAAGGCCAUUAAUAAAGCUUUCUAAUGCAAAAGUGACUAAUUAACUAACGAAAUGAAACUCUGAAGCUGUGAUAUCAAAACCAGUCCACCACAUAUUGUGGAAACACAAGGGAACUAAUUAGUUUAAUUAUCAAAACAGCUAAUUAAAAUUACACAGUUGCCCAAUUAGUUCUUUGCACUUUUUCUCCACUUUAAUUGACAAGAUGGAGUUAAAUCGGUUCUGGUCUUUAAGAAGUGCUCGAAGAGGGAGCAGCAGUUGGAAGGAUACUUUGAAAUGAUUUUAUCUCACUUUAUGACAGAACUGCAUCAGGAAAACAAAUUACUAUCAGAGUUUUAAUAAUACCCCAACCCUCAAACAGAAGAAUGGGAGUUUACGGACCCUAUAUGUACAUAUCUGGAUGUUAAAAUGAUCAUAGCGCUGAGGGUUGCUACUGCUGCCUUAUAGUGUGCUAGUUUUUAAAUGAUGUUUAGUUUUGUUUUUUGUUUCAGAAAUUUGAUGGGGUAACACUUCUGUUUGUCAUUAAUUUAAAGGGGGUAAACGAUCCUUUCUACUACUGACUGCGUUAAUUGUAUGUAAUGGUGGACACCGUACCCAAGCAGCCCCAUCCAAUGGGCAGUGGGAUCACAGUGAAACGAAGAGUGAAAUGUUGAUGAGUCCUACCCGGCACCCAUGAUUGUGCAGGUGAUGGCUAAUUAUUAUCAAUCAAUUCUAAGAGUAAAAUAAAUUGUCAUUGAACAUUGUCGCUCUAUUUAUUAAACAUAUGUAAGGCGUCCUAACAUUGCAUGCAAGUGGUUUAAAAUAUCCGAUUUUAGUAAAAGAUUUGAAGAUAAAAUCUAUAAUUAAAAAAAGUAUUACAUUUUUUUUUAAUUUGUAUAAUAGCUCUGUUCUAUACUAAAAAUUGCUCAAACCAACCCUAAACAGACCUAUUGAGUAAGUACUUCACUGUACGGCUCUCAAGUAGAUGAUAAUCUCUGGUGUAUGUGGUGCAGGACCUAGCCCAUUGGCUGAGAACGGUCAGCUGACCGCACUGCAGCACUAACGGGAGCAGUGCUCGGCGUAAGAAAUCAUUCUGGAGCGGUUUAACUACUUACAAUGGUGGGGGCCACAAGGCACUGCAGUGGUUAUGGUGCUUGACUUUUUCUUUUAUCUAGAAUAGAGAUUUUGCCUUUUAACAGAAAGCAGCAAGGUGAAUUGUUUGUGCAGGUGAGCUUGGGUGAUAAACCUGUUAUUUAAAUGUACACGGGGAUUUGGGAUAGUGUGCAGAGAAUUUGGUUUGUUCCAUGUAUUUGAGUUUAGUGGAUUUAGUUCUAUGUACUUGUUUAUUUGUAUAUGCGCAUGAUAACUGCUGUUUGUACAUCUAGCCAAUAACUAAACAUGUUUUUCUUAUAACCUGUUUCUAUGUUUACAUUCCUUGAAAUAAAAAAAGAAUCAUUCUUGGAGGACAUUUUAAAACAGGACUGGUGGCCAUGGCUGUUCCAUUCACCUGGUUAAAGGUUCCUAUGAAAGCAGCAGAGAGGAUGACUUACACAAACUGCAAAAUUUGAUCUCUGAAUACCACACAGGUUUUAAUUGUUUUAAAACAAUGAGUCGCCAAUGUUUCCCCCCUGUCCUGGAUCUUUCUCAAAUCUUAAUAGCUCUCAUAGAUUAACGCAAUACAUGGUAGUGGUGGAGCCUCCAAAUUCACAAUGACAACUGGUGCAGGACUACUAAACACAUAAUACUGUAAAAGAGCUAAUCACCCCCUGUUCCCCUCCUCUAGCCCAUUUCACGCUAAUCGCUACCUCUCCUGGCCACUAAACGAUUCCAGAAGCCCAGCACAGCUACAAUACCUCCAGCGGGAACAGGUCGACCCGAUUCACUGCCGGUGACUGGUGAAACUAACGGCCAUUCAUACUCCCUCAAACUAACAUGUAGAAGAAUGCUUUUUGGAGAGGAGGUAGAGGAAGGUCCAGCCAACAAUCGCUACGAAAGAGACAGGGAAAGCCUCCCUUUUCCAGGAAGAAAACAGACUAUAUAGGUGACCAGCACUUAGCUGCAAACAGCCAGAACUUCAAUUUCUCGGGUUAGGCACAUCCGAUCGGACGCUUUUUAAACAUUAUGCUGGGGGAAGUGAGCUCUGCGCAGGGAUGCAUAAAUUGUCUUCUGGCACUGUCCCUCCAUUCAGUGUUAAAUCAUCCCAUCUCAUUGAAGUGGCUAUAGUGUCUGGACUCCCCUGGUGUUGUCCUUCCAUUCAGUGUUAAAUCAUUCCAUCUGAUUGAAGUGGUUAUAGUGUCUGGAGUCCCCUGGUGCCGUCCUUCCAUUCAGUGUUAAAUAAUUUUUAAUGGUUUUAAUGCUAAACAAGAGCACAAACUACACAAACAAUCUCUACCUAUGAGCCAAGGGAACUGUAACGGAUCGCCUGGCACCCCGACUGGGUACCUCCGUUGAAGGAUGCUCCUAGCGCUUCCUGAGGACUCCAAGCACUAUGGCAGACAACACAAUCACCGAACCGGAGGAACAAAUAAAUUCUCCCAAGCAUAUGAAUGCUGUAGACAUUUGAAUAGGAAACCAUACGAAUAGGUUUACCCUCCUAGCAGUCAAACUGGAACAGCAUACAAUAAAUCCUUCCCCCAAUAAUGAGACGACACUUCACUUUGAGGGUUAAAACAGGAACUCCCUGUACUGUCACAUACAGUCUCUUUUAUUCCCAAUCCACAAACAUGGUACAGCCCACAGGGCGUUACAAAACAACCAAUCAAUCCGUACAAUACACCCAGACACUCCCACACAAAAUCCUCCCCUCUGCCUGUGAUAUGAUUACUGAACACAAUGGGUAAUCUCAUUAUCACCGGCAGAGGAAUACAGUUUUUACACAAUUUUUUUUUUUUUUUAAUUCUUUAUUUUUUAUUGUGCAGGUGGGUACAUGUCAGUUUCCAACGCCACAACAGCGUAUUUACAGAUGGCUAUACAUGCUUAACAGUUGCAAGAGUGCAUGCACAUUUUUUAAAAUAUAUUAGCAAUAACAAUAUAACAGGCUGAACCGUAGUGGAAUGCUGAUUGCAGUGUAGAUUCUGGUGUGUGUGAGAUAAGUUACAUUGCGAUAUACUAUUGCAAUAUUGGGAGUGCUGGGACAAGCUAGUCUGCUUGAGAGUCUAGACAGGUGCUUAAAACAUGAGUGCCCGCUGAUCUAGGGGGAUGUAGUGGAGUAUGUUGGGUAGGCUGCUCUGGUUGGUUAAUUCAGUUAGCCCUUUUGUUCAUAACUAUGUUGGACAUAUCGGCACAGGACUCCUAGUUUCAGCAUCCUUAGAGUCAUUGUAGAAGUCAAAGGGGAAGGGCUAGGAAAUAAUUACAUCGCAAGAGGAAUCACUGGGCUCUCUGAGAGCUCUGUCUAUACGUGUGUGGGUGUCAGGGCAGUGGCGACCUGAUCAUUGACCGGUUUAAUAUCAGUCACUACGUGACCUGUCUGUGUGGUAUUAAGUCGUCUAACUGUGAGUGGGUGUUGCGUGCAGAGUGGCCAGGCUAGGUAUCGUGCGCUGCCUCUCUAUACAUGCGACAUGCAAAGAAUAUUUCUGAACAAACCAACCAGAACUAAAAAUUAAACACGUUUGUAACAUGGGCCACAGGGUAUCUGGAAUUGUAGUUAUAGAUACGUCCAUACAUGUUAGUCUAGUGACACACUGUGGUAUGUAAAUCUACAUUUAUCAUGGCAACAGACGCGACAUACAUGACAGAGUGAUAUUGGUAAGUGAUCGCUAUCUAGUCCAGACUGGCAAAGAAAAACAAGUGCUCUGCUGCGUUAUCGUGGGAGCUCCAAAAAGGCCAAAAAUAAAAAUAGAAAUAAAUAAAAGGAAAAGGCAAAAAAGUCUCUGUUAACAGAAGUCUGUGGACUUCGGCUAGUCCCCCCUUCCCCUCCUUGCGGUCAUCCGACCUUUCUCUCGGCUGGGCUAUAGGCCUGCAUGUGCAGAUAUUUCGUGCCGUGCUGCCAGAGUUCUGUCGGGUGUCAGGUGCAACGUAACCCGGUACAGUCCCAAAGUUUGCCAGGGAUGGCCAACGAACUAAGCCGUGAGAGCAAGGUUGCCCACGUGUGUUGGAUUUGGCCGGUCAAUGGCAUCGUCCGUCCGAAGACCUCUGGCUAGUCCGCCAGUGUGUGUCUGCGGGUGUCAGUCACGUUGGUGAGAGUAGGUGUUAUCCAGACUGGCUGUGGUGAUGAGCGUGAGUCGCUGCAAUCCGGGGCUGCGAAUAACUUGUGGUAUAGGUGUCUCAGGAGUGUCUGUUGUGGUGACUUACAUUCAGCGUUCAAAGAUUGUAUAUUCCCAGGGAUGUCGUGUUUAGGUAGUGACCGCGGCGUAGGAGUCAGGGGUCGAACCUCUUUGGAUAAACAAGUUGAUUUUUGCCGGGUCCCAGGUCUGCGCUGGGGAGGUCGGGUGAAGGAGCCUUUCCUGAUUGAGCGAGGUCUGUGGAAUGCCCAGAGUCCGCAGGAGGUCAGGGGCUUCCUCAAUGUCGUGUACCAGAUGAGAGGCCGUUCCUUGCUGUACACUGAGAGAUCUGGAGUUCCGCCAGCGGUAGUUGAUCCCGUGCCGUUGGAGCAGAGAGGUAAGUGGUUGGAGCGAUCUGCGCCAGGCCAGGGUGCUACCGGACAGGUCAGCAAAAAAGGUCAGUCCCUUGUUUUCAAACUGCAUAGGGGUUUUACCUCGGAGGGCCGAGAGAAUCAUCGCUUUUUCCUUCCCAUUUCGGAAAGUAAUUAUAGUGUCUCUUGUCGCAGAGGGUGGUGCUCUGGGGGGUUUAGGGAUUCGAAAUUGGCCCACAGGGGUGAUGGCUGUGGCCUGUCCGCUUGGCAAAAUGGCUGCUAUCAUACGCUGUACAACUUGUGGCAGGUCGGUCUCAGGAAUCUCAUCAGGGAGCCCUCUGACCUUUAGAUUUUGUCUUCUUCUGUCAUCUUCUUGAGCUGCGUAGCGGCGUUCUUGUAACUGGUUCUGUUUUUGCAGGUCCAGUACAGCCUGUUGCAGGGACGAUAGGUCCUGCUGGUGUCCUUGAGACGUUAUCUCUAGCGUGCUGAUGCGGCCUGUCAGGCCCUGCAGUUCGCCCCUGAGGGCAGUUACAUCCGCUAGUAUAUUCUUUUGGAGAUCCGCCAGUAGUGCUUUCAUAACCCCUGUGGUUACCAACUCCCCGUCGGUACCCGUUGGCUUGGACUGCCGCGUUAUGGCCGGGGCUGUCAUGUAGUCGUCCUCAGCAUCUCCUGAGAGAUCGUCCGAGAAAUCGGAACAGCCGCCAUGAAGGGCCGCCAUGUUAGGCUCCAUCGUGCCUCGUGCUUGCCUCCACAUUUCUCCGAUCGUCCGUUCAGAGGUAUGUCUGUCUGGUCCCGGUUUUUUAUUUUUCUUCCCCAUUGUGCUUUGCUUUGGGGGGGUCUCCGCUGACUUUUUGGGGUCUGUGGGUAGUAUUUGGUUCGAUUUUCGACGUUUGGUGCGCGGAGCUCCAAAUUCCUGCGACUGCUGUCCUUCCUAGCCACCGGAAGUCCCCCGUUUUUACACAAUAUUUAUAACUUCUAAAAUAUACAUGUCACAAACAUAAAACAUACAUUUUCAUAAUCAAUCCAUUCAGGGGAACAACAUAUUAAAAAAUGGCACGAAUCAGACCAGGGAUUCAAAAGUUAAGGGAAAGUCCUUUGUGACUAAAUGAAGCAUGGCUUUCCGGCCCAAACCAGUUUCAGAGUCUUCUAUCCUGGGGAUAAGUAAUUCAAUUAUCUCCCAGGACAGACACAAGACUCCAUUAAGCACAUGGUUGCAAAAAGACACAAAACACUUUAAAAUACAUAAAGUCACCUUUUAUACAUAAAACACAGACAUGUCACAUAUCCCCAGAUAGCUGGAAUCUGAGCGCACAAAACUACCAAAUAGCGCUCAGAUCCUAUUCACACAGUUCAAUUGCCAUGGAGCCGAAGUCUUUAACUACACGAAUGGGCUCCAUGGCAUAGCUAUCUGGGUUAACACAUUCACAUAAAGUCUGGUCCAUAGUCCAAAGGCAAGAGGCGGGCAAGCAGCCCACUCCAAGGACACGUGGCGAGGCCGGUUUCGCCACAGGAACCGUUCAACUUUUUGUUCGUUUUGGAACUCCUGAAAGUGACCGACCGCUACCCCUGAUUCUCUGGAACUAAUCUGGGCAGAUGCCACAUGUGGAUAUGGAUGUUCUUAGUCGGAGUAUGGGGGAUCCGUUACAUAACCAAUAGUAUAAUGAAAUCAACAAUACCGCUGUGGCGGCCACACCGAUGGGAAUAGGGGUUUUUGCCACUGUAGCGGAGCGGCAAUAUUAAAUCCCAUGAUCUCCGCUGGUAAAAAAGGUUGUAACGGCAUCCUGGGCAUAAAAGGGUUAAACCGCCGUUUAGUAUAUCUUCCCCUUCCAGAGACACAGGCACAGCUACUGCAGAACCCCAAACUCCCGAACAGGAUACCAAGUAGCACUCCAAACUCCCGAACUGGAACCUCACGAAUAGCUGCUAGCAGCUGAACAGGAAAAGCACCCAAGCGGCUUACACUCCUGGCAAUCAGUCUCUAACAGCAUACAAUAAAUCCCCCCAAGAACGAGACAAAGCUCCGUGUUGAGGGUCAAGCAGGAACAGACAGAGCUGUGGGUUUAUUGUUCUUAUAUACACGUUAGUACCACCCACAGGGUUUUGGAAAACAACCAAUAAACACGUACAAUACACUCAGACACUCCCACACAAAAUCCUCCCCUCUGCCUGUGAUACAAUUACCUUACACAAUGGGUAAUGUAAUUAUCACAAGCAGAGAAAUAAAAAUUUUCCACAUUAUUCAUAACUUGAAAAGUAUGCAUCACAUUCACAUAAAACUUAAAUUUUCAGAAUCAGCAUACUCCAAAUGUCAAAAUCAUCCAAAUUGGUCCAGUGGUUCAAAAGAUAGAUCGUAGUCCUUUGUGACCAAAGGAAGCAUGGCUUUUCUGCCCAAAACCAGUUCCACAGAUUCUUCUAUCCUGGAGAUAAUUAGAAAGUAAUCCAAUUAUCUCCAAGGACAGAGGCAAAACUCCAUUGAACACAUGGCAGCAAAAGACAAUAAAACACAUAAAAACAUAUAACUGUGCAGCCAUUGCACAAAACAGGUACAUUCAACAUAUCCCCAGAUAGCUCAGAUCUGAGCGCACAUUAUUACUGAAUGGCACUCAGAGCACACACAUACAGUUCAAUUGCCAUGGAGCCAAAGUCUUUCCCAUAGUCUUUCAUUAUACGAAUGGGCUCCAUGGCAUAGCUAUCUGGGGUAUCACCGCUCAAACAGGGCCAGCACCGAAUGACCCAGCUUUUGUGUCUACGCAGGGGAAAAUCAAGCGUUUCAACAUGGGGCCAUAGUCUAAAGGCAGCAGGCUGGCAACCAGGCUCCUCCAAUGCACAAUGGCGAGAUUGGUCUCGUCACAAAGUUAAUCCACAGUCAGCGCUGAAAAGUAAGGCAAUAUCCCAAAUCCCCCAGUAACCGGACGAGACACAGUUCUGGGAGUCAACUGAGGUUUGUAUUCACAGCAUCCAGUAUUUAUGCAAGUCCCCAUGCAAUGGGUUCCCUUACUGACAUGGCAGGGGUUGUACAGUAGGGGACUACAUGGGGGACUUAACAUUCAGACCUUUUCUCCCAUCAGGCACUGCUGCACGAGAGGGACACUCCCACUGGAAUACACCGUUAAGUGGAUUAUCCCUCCGUGUAGCAGAACCGGCAUUUCACAUUAAAAUGUAUAACUUUCAUAAUACUUGAGUGAUUUAAACGAAUGGACAUUCGGUAGAUAGCUGGGGUCUGAGCGCACCUUUCGUGAGAAUACCGCUCAGAUCCCAGCUAAAACAACCGAACGCCGCACGAAAUACACUUUGCCCAUAAGUUCGUCUGAAAGUACCCAACACCGAUGGGGAACUGUAAUAGGGGAAUACCAGAGCUCCCGAACGGCCUGGAAGUCCAGCGGGGUUCGCGCCAUCGAGUAGCUGUUUUCAGUUCCACGCGCUCAACGACCAAACCCCGCUGGUGAGACAAAGGAUCCAAGAUGGCCGACCGCCGCGUGGUCGGUAGCCGAACGACGGCCACCUAGGAAAGCCUCUAAUUACAACACUGUUGCAAUCGGUUAAUGAGCGCCACACGUCCCUCUGUGUGUGGGCUAUUAGGGGGUAGCUCAUUCGGUUCACGAACAGCCUGUAAGGUUGCUGUUCGUGAAACGAAACACAUGAAUGCUAGCGGCUUUCGGCUGCUAGCAUACGAAUCCAAUGCAAACAUACAGUAACACACAAUGUAAAUCCAGGCCCUGGGGAGAUAGCGCAGCUAAGCGGACAAGGGCACAUGUAGGAGUGUGGGGAUAGAUGCAUGGGAUUGGUUGGGAAAGAGUGUGUGGGUGGGAUUAUGUUCUGUGUAAAUUAGUGUGGGGGAGGUCUUACCUCAGUGCCACUUGGGAUUCGGGCCAGCAAACAGCUUCCUGUCCUCCUGCUCCUGUUUGCCUGGGCCUGCAGAUUGACACAGCUUGAUGGUUGAGGCUUUCUGGCUUCCCUCAGGGCUGCUGCAGCGUGGAUGGUGGCCGGCUCCUGUGGGAACAAUUGGCAAGCAUUAAUGAGGUAUGGCUACCGGUG
rnacentral:lncRNA from 1 species